rnacentral:rRNA from 1 species
UACGUAGGGGGCUAGCGUUGUCCGGAUUUAUUGGGCGUAAAGAGCGUGUAGGCGGCCUGGUAGGUCUGCUGUGAAAACUCGAGGCUCAACCUCGAGAUGUCGGCGGAAACCAUCUGGCUAGAGUCCGGGAGAGGGAUGUGGAAUUCCGGGUGUAGUGGGUGAAAUGCGUAGAGAUCCGGAGGAACACCAGUGGCGAAGGCGACACGCUGGGCCGGUACUGACGCUGAGGAGCGAAAGCGUGGGGAGCAAACAGG